rnacentral:rRNA from 1 species
AGAGGUGGCAAGCGUUGUUCGGAUUUACUGGGCGUAAAGGGUGCGUAGGCGGUUUUGCGUGUCGGAUGUGAAAUCCUGCCCGCUCAAUGGCAGGACUGCGUUCGAAACUACAGAACUGGAGUGCAGGAGAGGAAAGCGGAAUUCUUGGUGUAGCGGUGGAAUGCGUUGAUAUCAAGAGGAACACCGGUGGCGAAGGCGGCUUUCUGGAAUGCAACUGACGCUGAGGCACGAAAGUUGGGGGAGCAAACAGGAUUAGAUACCCUGGUAGUCCCAACUGUAAACGGUGCACACUGGGUGUGGGGAGUGAAAUCCCUUAGUAACGAAGCUAACGCGUGAAGUUGACCGCCUGGGGAGUACGGUCGCAAGAUUA